rnacentral:rRNA from 1 species
AGAGUUUGAUCCUGGCUCAGAACGAACGCUGGCGGCAGGCCUUAUACAUGCAAGUCGAGCGCAUCCUUCGGGAUGAGCGGCGGACGGGUGAGUAACGCGUGGGAAUGUGCCCUUCUCUACGGAAUAGCCACUGGAAACGGUGAGUAAUACCGUAUACGCCCUCAGGGGGAAAGAUUUAUCGGAGAAGGAUCAGCCCGCGUUAGAUUAGGUAGUUGGUGGGGUAACGGCCUACCAAGCCUACGAUCUAUAGCUGGUUUUAGAGGAUGAUCAGCCACACUGGGACUGAGACACGGCCCAGACUCCUACGGGAGGCAGCAGUAGGGAAUCUUGGACAAUGGGGGCAACCCUGAUCCAGCCAUGCCGCGUGAGUGAAGAAGGCCCUAGGGUCGUAAAGCUCUUUCGCCUGUGAUGAUAAUGACAGUAGCAGGUAAAGAAACCCCGGCUAACUCCGUGCCAGCAGCCGCGGUAAUACAGAGGGGGUUAGCGUUGUUCGGAAUUACUGGGCGUAAAGCGCGCGUAGGCGGAUUGGAAAGUUGGGGGUGAAAUCCCGGGGCUCAACCCCGGAACUGCCUUCAAAACUCCCAGUCUAGAGUUCGAGAGAGGUGAGUGGAAUUCCGAGUGUAGAGGUGAAAUUCGUAGAUAUUCGGAAGAACACCAGUGGCGAAGGCGGCUCACUGGCUCGAUACUGACGCUGAGGUGCGAAAGUGUGGGGAGCAAACAGGAUUAGAUACCCUGGUAGUCCACACCGUAAACGAUGAAUGCCAGUCGUCGGAUAGUAUACUAUUCGGUGACACACCUAACGGAUUAAGCAUUCCGCCUGGGGAGUACGGUCGCAAGAUUAAAACUCAAAGGAAUUGACGG